rnacentral:rRNA from 1 species
GUGGGGAAUAUUGGACAAUGGGCGAAAGCCUGAUCCAGCCAUGCCGCGUGUGUGAAGAAGGUCUUCGGAUUGUAAAGCACUUUAAGUUGGGAGGAAGGGCAGUAAGUUAAUACCUUGCUGUUUUGACGUUACCGACAGAAUAAGCACCGGCUAACUUCGUGCCAGCAGCCGCGGUAAUACGAAGGGUGCAAGCGUUAAUCGGAAUUACUGGGCGUAAAGCGCGCGUAGGUGGUUUUGUAAGUUGGAGGUGAAAUCCCCGGGCUCAACCUGGGAACUGCCUCCAAAACUGCAUGACUAGAGUACGGUAGAGGGUAGUGGAAUUUCCUGUGUAGCGGUGAAAUGCGUAGAUAUAGGAAGGAACACCAGUGGCGAAGGCGACUACCUGGACUGAUACUGACACUGAGGUGCGAAAGCGUGGGGAGCAAACAGGAUUAGAAACCCUAGUAUCC